GGCGAUGAGGAGAUCGGUCUUGUCUGAAGAAUGAUGAAAGUGGUCACCGCUGAGC
rnacentral:ncRNA from 14 species